UGAACAUUAAGUUUCUGGCAGCAAGGAGUCAAAUGUUUACUUCUAUGACUUAACUCGGCGAAAGCACACGUGUGUAAAUAAGCUGCAGGGGCAUGGUUCUUCGGUUAUAGGAGUUGCCUGGAAUCAUGGGGAGAACUUGUUGGCCUCUUCUGAAUUAGAUGGAACAGUGAUUGUUUGGAAGCGAGCAAAGACAAGUUGACUCUUCUGUGCACUGCCCUGGAAUCCUAUUGAUCAACACAGCCAAACAUGACAAUAGUCACAGGGACACAUUGACAGCAUCAUUGCAACAGCAUAUCCUUUCUCUAAUCUGCACAGAUGUGGCUUGGAAAAAUGACGGCUUCAGUUUUCAGGUCGAGCGUUAUUAUGCCUAGGCAUCCAGAUUAUGGAAAACUUAUCUUGGUAUUUGUUGUGUAAUUUUUUUUGUUCUGUCCUCUUAUUUUGUAUUGCUAUUGAGGUUUUCUCAGUUUUUGUACUGUUUAGAAUUCUUAGUAUUGCAUGCAGCGGGAAGAAUGGUUUAGACAAACUUCAACAUUUUUACAACUUCAUGCCGUGUGAUCUAGGGCAAAUCACAUGUAUCGGCAGCAGCAAACAUGAGCAUGUCACCUGGAUAUUGUGCUCUCUCUUUGGUACAGGCGUAUUUUCGGUAAAUAAAGGACAAAUCGUUUUCCAAUUUUUCUACUUACUAUUCGAUCUUAUAAACACCAGAUAACACAAGAAGUUUGCUCUUUGUUAUGAAAUUCAUCUCUGUGCCGCCAGCUCGACUCGAUGACCUUCGCAAGGGGGAUCUCGUAUGUUUGUGACAAAAAAUUAGAAAAUGCUUCACUGAAACAUGUAACUCGGAGAGUCACCCAGCUGGUUUAUGGGACUCUUAUGGCUCCCCUCUGAAUUGGCAUCAUGAAAUGUGCCACAUAAUGAAAUAAAAUGAGUGGUGCAAGACAGCUGAGUAACUUUUUUUAGAGAGAGAGCUACUCACCAUGACUACCCAGGUCUAAAUUUAGGACGCGCCAUCCAAGACUUGAAGCCAUUGCUGUCAUGCUACCAUUAAGGCAAUCUCCAAAAGCAUGGCCCUUCCUCUUUCGAGACAUGAGAUUGUCUCUGGCAUGCCUUGGUUCGGUAGGAUACAUAAAGAUCCAUAUUGAAGCAGUAUAUCUUUAGAUAUUGGUUUGGCGAACCUUACUUCUAGAUAGACACUUUAGUAGUUGGGAAAAAUGUAUCAAGCAUGCAAACCAAGACCAAGGUGGUAGUGUUAGCCACCCAUAUGAACUUGUCAUUUCUACAUAAUCACUGGAUUCGAUGCAAGAGCGUAGGAUCCAUUGCUACAAGAAAAAUGGUGCAUAUUAUUUGUUAAGGCUUGCCAUGCUACAAAAUAUCAACAAACUCAUGCAUGCAUCUUCGCAUGCCUGCAUAACAAUUAUGAUACGCGAACUUGCCUGAACCUCUGUGCAAACGAAAACCUUUUUGCUUGCCCUCAUUUAUCAUACUUCCCGACAACAAUUGCUCCAUAGGGCUGCUUGCAUCUUAAAAUCUUGUACAUCUCCAUGCAAACUGUUUUUUGGCAUUAGUCUCUUUAUAACAGAGAACAUUUCAGUCCUUUACAUGUUAACAAUUUUCACUUGCAUGUUAAUUGUUUGGUCUCAUAAAACUGUCAAUUGAAGUUCAAUUAACAUAAAUACCAUAUAAUACAACAGAGUACAUGACAACCAACAGAAAACAAGUAUAAAACCCAAAAACGCCACCCUUUUUGGAAGCAUUAAAUCUUAUUGAUACUCCUCUUAAUCCCUGAUCAGUAAUCUCUGCUAUUAUGUUUUAGAGUAUUCCAAGCCUUUGUACAAGGUCCUGAUCCUCUAUGGUAAAAUGCAGCCAUCAGUCAACAAGUUGCUUAAUAUAUACUCCCUUUCUUUAAUAAAAAUGUACACAGGACUUUGCUCAAAGAAAUAUGUACACAUGACAGCAGGAGCUGAUGGCUACUUACAAUGUAGGCAGUUUGGGUAUCUUUUGCUCAUAGGUAUCUGCAAUUAAGCGAUGAUUUUCUUGCGCUUUUUUUGUUUCUAGUGCCUUUUCUAAAUCUUGGCAUUUCCUUAGGGCUGCCCUUAUCUCCCUCAGCAUUUCAUCAAUGCCAAUGAGUUUU